rnacentral:rRNA from 1 species
CGCGUAGGUGGCUUAGAAAGCGCGUGGUGAAAGCCCGGGGCUUAACCCCGGGUCUGCCGUGCGAACUACUAUGGCUAGAGGACUGUAGAGGCAAGUUGAAUUCCGGGUGUAGCGGUGGAAUGCGUAGAGAUCCGGAAGAAUACCGGUGGCGAAGGCGGCUUGCUGGGCAGUUUCUGACACUGAGGCGCGACAGCGUGGGGAGCAAACA